rnacentral:rRNA from 1 species
UUUACCAGAGUACUAUGAAUGCUUAAAAAAUUUAAAACUCAAAGAACUUGGCGGUGUUUUAGACCACUCAGGGGAACCUGUCUCGUAAUCGAUAAUCCGCGUUGCACCUGACCUCUUUUUGUUUUCAGUUUGUAUACCGUUGUCGUCAGGUAACUUUUUAGAAAUUAGAAGUUAGCAAUUAAAGUAUUAAUAACUUAGUAUGUCAAAUCAAGGUGCAGCUAAUAAAGAGGGGAGGAUGGGUUACAAUUAUAUGAUUUAUAAUGACGGAUAGAUGUAUGGAUGUACAUUAAGUUUUAAGGAGGACUUGGAAGUAAAUUAGAGUAUAAAGAUAAUUUGAAUUGGGCUCUGAAACGUGU